UGCCAGCCGCCGCGGUAAUGCGAAGGGGGCUAGCGUUGUUCGGAAUCACUGGGCGUAAAGCGCGCGUAGGCGGAUUGGAAAGUUGGGGGUGAAAUCCCGGGGCUCAACCCCGGAACUGCCUCCAAUACUACUAAUCUUGAGUUCGGAAGAGGUGAGUGGAAUUCCUAGUGUAGAGGUGAAAUUCGUAGAUAUUAGGAAGAACAUCAGUGGCGAAGGCGACUCACUGGUCCGAUACUGACGCUGAGGUGCGAAAGCGUGGGGAGCAAACAGGAUUAGAUA
rnacentral:rRNA from 1 species